rnacentral:rRNA from 1 species
UACGGGGGGGGCAAGCGUUGUUCGGAAUUACUGGGCGUAAAGGGCUCGUAGGCGCCAACUAAGUCAGACGUGAAAUCCCUCGGCUUAACCGGGGAACUGCGUCUGAUACUGGUUGGCUUGAAUCCGGGAGAGGGAUGUGGAAUUCCAGGUGUAGCGGUGAAAUGCGUAGAUAUCUGGAGGAACACCGGGUGGCGAAGGCGGCAUCCUGGACCGGUAUUGACGCUGAGGAGCGAAAGCCAGGGGAGCAACGGG